GCCCUCUUCAACUCGCGCUCCAGCUGACUGCGCUUAGCGGAAUGCGGAAACACCCACCGCGACGAGCCAAUCACAGCUCCCCUCUCAGCAUCUGUCAACAGCCCGCUCUGCACAGGGUCUUCUUCAACUGGGAUCGCUGAUUUCACCCUGCAGCUUACAUAAAGCAUCUCCGUGCUGCAGCGAUAUUACCCGACAGCAAGGUUCAGCUCUUUCCUCCUCCUCCUCCUCUCUGUUUUCACCUCACCUCACCUCGCCUCCUACUUUAAAAUGCUGUGCUCACUGAUAGAUGACACAGCCGGCAUAGCGUUAUGAAACAUGUGCGAGCGCUGUCACCGGGUUAACAUUUUGCUGAGAAACACCAGGAUGCGGUUUCGGCGGUUCUGCGUACUGAAAAGGAGGUUUUGUUUAGGGAGACUUUCUCCCAGUGAUGAAGAAAAAUGUCAUCAAAUAUUUGGAGCAGCGUUUUCUCACACACUGUCUUUUCUCUCGUCACCUCAAUUUAGGGCUUGAUUUUGUGCGAGAGGCAUGUCCCUUUGGGUUACCACAAAUGGGAUUGAUUGGACUAUUAGUAACAGGAAACAACACGAUGUGCAAUAAACAGAGGGGAACAGAGAAGAACUUUACGAUGUCUUGAAUGCAUCUAUCAAGCUAUCAAGACUUUUUCACUGGUCUAUUCUGUGUUUCAUUCUGAAGAUUUGUAACCCUGACAGUCAUAAUUCAGCUGGAAUACUUGUCUCUUUUUAAUGCAGAUUGUUGUUGAUGCUGUGAAAAAAGACAGAACAGUCAUUUUCUUAAAAUGACCUGGGACAUAUCUCAGUUUAUCUUAAAUGUUCCAAGAACAGCAGUCUGAGAUUGAAAUCCUUUGGGAUUUAUAACUAACUGAGCGGCUGCGCACCAUUUACUGUUUGACAACAUGAUUAAAACACUUCCAAGCAUGCCUCAGUCCUUAGUAAACCUCAGAGUUAAAGACUUACUGCAAAUAAAGUCAUAGUCGGGGGUUAAAGAUGAUUUGUCUGUCUCAAAAUACUACUUUGACUACUCAACUGGAAUGUUGAUGAAAUGUCUCCUUCUAAAGUCUGAAACUUAGCAGGUUUUACUGUUACAAGAUGUUAAUCUGUUUGGAAAGUGCCAUAUAAAGACAGGGUGAAUGAAAUGGUAAGUGUGAUGGCUAAUUGAACAGGGAGAGGAAUGACAGCAUGGAUGUGUACUGAUAGGACUGAUUCAAAUCUCGAUUCUCAUCAGGCCCGUGGUCAUUGGAAUGUUUUUUAUUAUAUGCUGCAGCAUGUGGUUGGUGUUUAUGCACAAGUCCGGCAGAGGUAAUCUGCUCUGUGUAUCUUGCAGCUUCGCUACACAAGGGAUGGCUUCUCUUAGAAUAACUACCAUGACAAUGAGUUGGGCAAGAGCAAAGGGACAGCUUGGCUUUGUUUAAUCCAUAACGACGACAGAAAGACAGGAUAUUGUACCCUUCAUUGUGCAAAGAUUGCUGGUUUCCAUUAAAAUAUGGUCGUAACAGCUGUGUAGUGUGAUGUGUUAUUAUAAUAAAAUGCCAUGCUGGGCAGCAGCGACUACAGCAUUAGAUCACAUCAGUGAUCAGAAGGCGAUAUCAAGAGUUUAUGGCUUUUAAACAUCUUUUAGUUACGCUUGACUUGUGCUUGUAAUUUGGUAAAACUGUUGCACACAUUACCAGUGUAUGGCAGCAGGAUUUUCCUGUAAUAAAUCAGCAGAUCCUUCACGUUUGGUGAUAGCUGUAUGAAUAAACACUUUGUAUCUACAACCCCAAUGCCACAAAAGUUGGGAUGCUUUGUAAAAUGUAAGUGCAAUGAUUUGGAAAUCUCAUAAACCUAUUUUAUUUUAUUUGCAAUGGAACAUUGCCAAACCAUUUCAAGUGUUUACACAAAAUGAGGUCAUUUUGGAUUUGGUGGCAGCAACAUGUCUCAAAGAAGUUUAGACAGGGUUUGUGUUUACCACAGUGCAGCAUCCCCUCUUUUAACCACAGUCUAUAAAUGUGUGUGAAGUGAGGAGACCAGCUGCCGGACUUUUGGGAGACGAAUGCCGUGCGAUUCUUGUCUGAUAAAGGAUUCUAGAUGUUCA